rnacentral:rRNA from 1 species
CCUGGAUCCUUCUACGGGAGGCAGCAGUGGGGAAUCUUCCGCAAUGGACGAACGUCUUACGGAGCAACGCCGCGUGAGUGAUGACGGCCUUCGGGUUGUAAAGCUCUGUUAAUCGGGACGAAAGGUCUUCUUGCGAAUAGUUAGAAGAAUUGACGGUACCGGAAUAGAAAGCCACGGCUAACUACGUGCCAGCAGCCGCGGUAAUACGUAGGUGGCAAGCGUUGUCCGGAAUUAUUGGGCGUAGAGCGCGCGCAGGCGGAUCAGUCAGUCUGUCUUAAAAGUUCGGGGCUUAACCCCGUGAUGGGAUGGAAACUGCUGAUCUAGAGUAUCGGAGAGGAAAGUUGAAUUCCUAGUGUAGCGGUGAAAUGCGUAGAUAUUAGGAAGAACACCAGUGGCGAAGGCGACUUUCUGGACGAAAACUGACGCUGAGGCGCGAAAGCCAGGGGAGCGAACGGGAUUAGAUACCCUUGUAGUCCUAUC